CCUGUAGCUCAAUUGGAUAGAGCAUCGGACUUCGGAUCCGAGGGUUGUGGGUUCGACUCCCGCUAGGC
rnacentral:tRNA from 1 species